rnacentral:rRNA from 1 species
GACGAACGCUGGCGGCGUGCCUAAUACAUGCAAGUAGAACGCACAGUUUAUACCGUAGCUUGCUACACCAUAGACUGUGAGUUGCGAACGGGUGAGUAACGCGUAGGUAACCUGCCUGGUAGCGGGGGAUAACUAUUGGAAACGAUAGCUAAUACCGCAUAAUAUUAAUUAUUGCAUGAUAAUUAAUUGAAAGGUGCAAUUGCACCACUACCAGAUGGACCUGCGUUGUAUUAGCUAGUAGGUGAGGUAACGGCUCACCUAGGCGACGAUACAUAGCCGACCUGAGAGGGUGAUCGGCCACACUGGGACUGUGACACGGCCCAGACUCCUACGGGAGGCAGCAGUAGGGAAUCUUCGGCAAUGGACGAAAGUCUGACCGAGCAACGCCGCGUGAGUGAAGAAGGUUUUCGGAUCGUAAAGCUCUGUUGUAAGAGAAGAACGGGUGUGAGAGUGGAAAGUUCACACUGUGACGGUAUCUUACCAGAAAGGGACGGCUAACUACGUG